UACGUAGGGAGCGAGCGUUGUCCGGAUUUACUGGGUGUAAAGGGUGCGUAGGCGGGAUUGCAAGUCAGGCGUGAAAUACCGGGGCUUAACUCCGGGGCGUGCGCUUGAAACUGUAGUUCUUGAGUGAAGUAGAGGCAGGCGGAAUUCCUAGUGUAGCGGUGAAAUGCGUAGAUAUUAGGAGGAACACCAGUGGCGAAGGCGGCCUGCUGGGCUUUAACUGACGCUGAGGCACGAAAGCAUGGGGAGCAAACAGGAUUAGAUACCCUGGUAGU
rnacentral:rRNA from 1 species